rnacentral:rRNA from 1 species
UACGUAGGGUGCGAGCGUUGUCCGGAAUUAUUGGGCGUAAAGAGCUCGUAGGCGGUCUGUCGCGUCGGUCGUGAAAACUUGGGGCUUAACCCUGAGCUUGCGGUCGAUACGGGCAUGACUGGAGUUCGGUAGGGGAGACUGGAAUUCCUGGUGUAGCGGUGAAAUGCGCAGAUAUCAGGAGGAACACCGGUGGCGAAGGCGGGUCUCUGGGCCGAUACUGACGCUGAGGAGCGGAAGCGUGGGGAGCGAACAGG